GAUGAACGCUGGCGGCGUGCCUAAUACAUGCAAGUCGAGCGAACAGACGAGGAGCUUGCUCCUCUGACGUUAGCGGCGGACGGGUGAGUAACACAUGGAUAACCUACCUAUAAGACUGGGAUAACUUCGGGAAACCGGAGCUAAUACCGGAUAAUAUAUUGAACCGCAUGGUUCAAUAGUGAAAGACGGUUUUGCUGUCACUUAUAGAUGGAUCCGCGCCGCAUUAGCUAGUUGGUAAGGUAACGGCUUACCAAGGCAACGAUGCGUAGCCGACCUGAGAGGGUGAUCGGCCACGCUGGAACUGAGACACGGUCCAGACUCCUACGGGAGGCAGCAGUAGGGAAUCUUCCGCAAUGGGCGAAAGCCUGACGGAGCAACGCCGCGUGAGUGAUGAAGGUCUUCGGAUCGUAAAACUCUGUUAUUAGGGAAGAACAAAUGUGUAAGUAACUAUGCACGUCUUGACGGUACCUAAUCAGAAAGCCACGGCUAACUACGUG
rnacentral:rRNA from 1 species